CCUACGGGAGGCAGCAGUGAGGAAUAUUGGUCAAUGGACGCAAGUCUGAACCAGCCAUGCCGCGUGCAGGAAGACGGCUCUAUGAGUUGUAAACUGCUUUUGUACGAGGGUAAACGCAGAUACGCGUAUCUGUCUGAAAGUAUCGUACGAAUAAGGAUCGGCUAACUCCGUGCCAGCAGCCGCGGUAAUACGGAGGAUUCAAGCGUUAUCCGGAUUUAUUGGGUUUAAAGGGUGCGUAGGCGGUCGGAUAAGUUAGAGGUGAAAUCCCGAGGCUCAAAUUCGGAAUUGACUCUGAUACUGUUCGGCUAGAGAGUAGUUGCGGUAGGCGGAAUGUAUGGUGUAGCGGUGAAAUGCUUAGAGAUCAUACAGAACACCGAUUGCGAAGGCAGCUUACCAAGCUACUUCUGACGUUGAGGCACGAAAGCGUGGGUAGCAAACAGGAUUAGAUACCCUGGUAGUC
rnacentral:rRNA from 1 species